CACGUAGGGGGCAAGCGUUGUCCGGAUUUAUUGGGCGUAAAGAGCUCGUAGGCGGCUCGUUGCGUCGGCUGUGAAAACCCACAGCUUAACUGUGGGCCUGCAGCCGAUACGGGCGAGCUAGAGUUCGGUAGGGGAGACUGGAAUUCCUGGUGUAGCGGUGAAAUGCGCAGAUAUCAGGAGGAACACCGGUGGCGAAGGCGGGUCUCUGGGCCGAUACUGACGCUGAGGAGCGAAAGCGUGGGGAGCGAACAGG
rnacentral:rRNA from 1 species